rnacentral:rRNA from 1 species
UGCUGUGAGCUCGAUGAGUAGGGCGGGACACGUGGUAUCCUGUCUGAAUAUGGGGGGACCAUCCUCCAAGGCUAAAUACUCCUGACUGACCGAUAGUGAACCAGUACCGUGAGGGAAAGGCGAAAAGAACCCCGGCGAGGGGAGUGAAAAAGAACCUGAAACCGUGUACGUACAAGCAGUGGGAGCACAGGUUUACCUGUGUGACUGCGUACCUUUUGUAUAAUGGGUCAGCGACUUAUAUUCUGUAGCAAGGUUAACCGAAUAGGGGAGCCGGAGGGAAACCGAGUCUUAAUUGGGCGUUAAGUUGCAGGGUAUAGACCCGAAACCCGGUGAUCUAGCCAUGGGCAGGUUGAAGGUUGGGUAACACUAACUGGAGGACCGAACCGACUAAUGUUGAAAAAUUAGCGGAUGACCUGUGGCUGGGGGUGAAAGGCCAAUCAAACCGGGAGAUAGCUGGUUCUCCCCGAAAGCUAUUUAGGUAGCGCCUCGUGAAUUCAUCUCCGGGGGUAGAGCACUGUUUCGGCUAGGGGGCCAUCCCGGCUUACCAACCCGAUGCAAACUGCGAAUACCGGAGAAUGUUAUCACGGGAGACACACGGCGGGUGCUAACGUCCGUCGUGAAGAGGGAAACAACCCAGACCGCCAGCUAAGGUCCCAAAGUCAUGGUUAAGUGGGAAACGAUGUGGGAAGGCCCAGACAGCCAGGAUGUUGGCUUAGAAGCAGCCAUCAUUUAAAGAAAGCGUAAUAGCUCACUGGUCGAGUCGGCCUGCGCGGAAGAUGUAACGGGGCUAAACCAU